UGACAAACUAAGGAGAGACCAUUGGGAAAUGAAACCUGAGACAUCUAUAUUGGGGGUGUUCCCUGGAUUUUCCAGUUUCACUACAUAUCGAAGAGUUACUGAGUUGGGGUACACCAAUUGGUAGUCCUGGUAGUGGAAAGAAAACAUGACUGAUUAUCUUCUGCAUCAUUGAUGCGGGUCAGUAGGACCUCUGAAGGUAUCUGUGCCACGCUUGUAACUGUCAUUUGAGGUCACUCUACUAUGAUUGGGUUACUUGUCUGUAUCACUUAUAUCUGCUUGAAUAGUUCUUGCUUUGAUUAGAAAAGAACAAGUUAAAUAGAGAGAUGGGAAAUGCAUGAGAUGGAGGAAUGAGUCACAGAUGAGGAUAUUCGUUAGUCUAGCAUAGAAUCCCUGUGGAUAUAAGAGGCAAGAGGAGGUCACAACUGGGUUUUUGAACCAGAUAAUAUCUGAGGACGGCUGGAUAGUGGCUUGAGGGGCUGUUGCUGAUAAUGAGGUGGCUUGCUGCUGACACACUGAUUAAGAAAUGGCAAGUAAUCUUAGAAGAAUUAAUAGCCGUCUGAUACCAACUAGUUUCCACACUGAGGAGCUGCUUGUCAACUUAUGUGGUUAAUCUUAUCAAUGCGAGUAUUUUUGUGCUUGAAAUUAUAGCAUUGUGCUGAAGCUGUACCUGGUCAAUAACUUCUGUUAGUUGCCUCACAUUCUGUAGGACUUAAUGAAGGGACUGAUCUAUCACAACCUCGUAUUCAGCUGUUUGGAUGAAGUUAGAUGGUGACAAACUACCGAUACAGAAUGCAAAGAAUGCAAUAGUUCAACUGAGUUUUCCACUCUGGGACCUCCUGAGCUUUCUUCUAUGAUCAGAAAUUCGUAGGGAAACCUGUAAUCAACUUUACCGUUCGAAAACUUUGAACAAUGAAUUUGCCAAGCCAAAGUCUUGUUAUGAUUCAAAGGGUAAUAACUUGGGGGCUCAUCAACUUCAGAAUCUCCAGCAAAUGUAGCAGCCAUUCUCCUGAAAUGACAUGAGAAUACAUACAGGAAAAGACUCAUGGGCAAAUUUGUUUUGGGUCUAAACAAACAUUGCAACAUUAAAAUAUUUGACGAAAAAAGAAUUAAUUUUAUUUCUCAUGUUUAACACACUGCCUUUCGAUAUUCAAUUCGAGAGUAUAUAUUAAAUUUUGAACUUCUUAAGAGUUAAGACUUAGAUGGACCUGGAGAAUUGUGCUGCCGAGUACCAACUUCUUCAAGGAGAACUUUAUUAUAAGCAGAUAUGGUGCAAUCACAGUACUAACUGCGACAUGAUCUAAAUCUAAUUGGACGACAAGCUACAGUCCCCCUUUUUUUUCUAAUGCUUAUUUGAUCUAACAUAAGCAUGGUCAUUUUCUUCAUUGCUGAUGAACUGAACUUCUGAGUGAUUAUUCUGCAGCAUUCCAUCAGAGUCUCAUCUGAUGAACUGAACUUUGGAUGCUAUCCGCAGAGCACUGACUAUUGUUUUCAGCUAUCUCUCAUGUCUUUGCUGAUCACUACAGUUUCAAGUUGAUCAUGGCAGCAUCAGUCUUUCAUCAUACCAAGGUAACAUGCUCUUUCCAAAAUGAGCAUAUACAUUGGGAUGUCAAGACAUAUUUAUCUUGCACUAAGUUGCUGAAAGUUCCUGCAUUGGUUUAGUUCAGCACAAUAUUCCUAUGGUGACUGGCGUAAUCUGUCAAUUGUGAAAUUCAUGCUGUAAAAUUUCUGACCCACCUGUUAACUUGGUGAAGAUUGACAUCU